rnacentral:rRNA from 1 species
AUAGAUACCCGGGUAGUCCACGCCGUAAACGAUGGAUACUAGCUGUCAGGGGUAUCGACCCCCUUGGUAGCGAAGCUAACGCGUUAAGUAUCCCGCCUGUGGAGUACGGUCGCAAGACUAAAACAUAAAGGAAUUGACGGGGACCCGCACAAGCGGUGGAUCGUGUUCUUUAAUUCGAGGCUAAACGAAGAACCUUACCAGGGCUUGACAUCCUCUGAAUUACUUCGAAAGAAGUGAGUGCUUUAUUGAACAGAGUGACAGGUGUUGCAUGGCCGUCGUCAGCUCGUGUCGUGAGAUGUUUGGUUAAGUCCAUCAACGAGCGCAACCCUUGCAACUAGUUGAAUUUUUCUAGUUGGACUGCCCCGGCAACGGGGAGGAAGGAGGGGAUGAUGUCAGGUCAGUAUUACCCUUACGUCCUGGGCUAGAAACACGAUACAAUGGCUAGUACAAUGCGCAGCGAAGCCGCGAGGUGAAGCAAAUCGCAUCAAAGCUAGUCCCAGUUCGGAUUGGAGGCUGAAACUCGCCUCCAUGAAGUCGG